UGGAGUUGUUGCAAUGAAGGAGAAUUUCUUAUUGCUUCAGAAGAUGAUUUUCUUAUUGCUUUUUUAUUUGUGAUAUUUCGAUAUUUCUUCAAAAGAUGAUUUUCUUAUUGCUUCUUAUUUGCCAUAGCUUCCAAGACGUUCGACUUUCAGUACUGUUAGAGAAAAUAGAUGAGCAAGAAGGUUUCAAGCUGUUUAGGACCACAGAUUCUCGUGAACCUGAAAACGCAAUAGAAAUACUCGAGCAAAUGGAGUAAAAGCUCUUAUUUUAUGAAUCCGCUGAGUUGGGAAGAGCAAGCAACUUGCGCAAAAGUUUAGCUUGGGAUAAUGCUUUUUUCACCAGUGCAUGUAUGCUUUUACAAGAAAUCUGAAAUAUUUGGUACCUGCUGCCAAUGUUAACUCAUUUCAUAUUAUAGCAAGUUAAAAUUCGAAGUCAUUAAUUGUAAUAUCCCUGUCCCGUAGUAUGAUAAUUGGUCCUUAAUAUGAAUAUGAUUAUGUGUUUGAUA